rfam:Lingula anatina scaffold327, whole genome shotgun sequence.
ACCAGGAUGGCCGAGUGGUUAAGGCGUUGGACUUAAGAUCCAAUGGACGUAUGUCCUCGUGGGUUCGAAACCCCACUUCUGGUA